GGUCUUACGCAAUGAGAAUCCGCGAACCGUGUCAGGUUGGGAACAAAGCAGCACUAAGCGGAACCUUUCAUGUGCCGUGAGA
rnacentral:SRP_RNA from 1 species